UACGGAGGAUGCAAGCGUUAUCCGGAAUGAUUGGGCGUAAAGCGUCCGCAGGUGGCUGUGUAAGUCUGACUGUCAAAGAGCAAAGCUCAACUUUGUAAAGGCAGUGGAAACUACACGGCUAGAGUGCGUUCGGGGCAGAGGGAAUUACCUGGUGUAGCGGUGAAAUGCGCAGAUAUCAGGAAGAACACCCGUGGCGAAGGCGGCUCUCUGGGACGGGUACUGGACGCUGAGACGCGAAAAGCCGUGGGGGAGCGAACAGGG
rnacentral:rRNA from 1 species